GAUGAACGCUGGCGGCGUGCCUAAUACAUGCAAGUCGAGCGAACGGACGAGAAGCUUGCUUCUCUGAUGUUAGCGGCGGACGGGUGAGUAACACGUGGAUAACCUACCUAUAAGACUGGGAUAACUUCGGGAAACCGGAGCUAAUACCGGAUGAUAUUUUGAACCGCAUGGUUCAAAAGUGAAAGACGGUCUUGCUGUCACUUAUAGAUGGAUCCGCGCUGCAUUAGCUAGUUGGUAAGGUAACGGCUUACCAAGGCAACGAUGCAUAGCCGACCUGAGAGGGUGAUCGGCCACACGGGAGCUGAGACACGGUCCAGACUCCUACGGGAGGCAGCAGUAGGGAAUCUUCCGCAAUGGGCGAAAGCCUGACGGAGCAACGCCGCGUGAGUGAUGAAGGUCUUCGGAUCGUAAAACUCUGUUAUUAGGGAAGAACAUAUGUGUAAGUAACUGUGCACAUCUUGACGGUACCUAAUCAGAAAGCCACGGCUAACUACGUG
rnacentral:rRNA from 1 species